UGGGAGGUCCAGGGCAGCUGACUGCAGAGAGGACCCAUCCUCAGGCUCCAAACACCGAGCACCUGCUUACAGAGAGGCAAGAAGGUUGACUCAGAGAAAAUCAUCAAGCACAAAGACCUGAUGUGAAAGUGAUUUAGCUGAGGUGAAGCUGGUAGAGAAUAACACACUGUACGGUCAAAGAAGACAGCACAGUGGUUUUCAUCUUGACAGCACAUGAGCUCCACAUGGGAAAUAUGACGCUGUGUGAUUCUCAAGUGUCAACACUGGAAAGAAAACUGGUAGUACUGGUCCUACCAGCUGUUGGAGGUUGAACUCACCGUGAAAGAGCAGGAGGAUAUGCAUCAGGACUGUCAACAUUAUGGACCGAAUCCUUCAGAGAUACAGAGAGAGCAUAAAUAAUGGAAGGAGUUAUAUUUAUUAAUAAACACCUUUACAUGUGGUUUUUAGAUUUAGCAUCUUUUUUAUGUUAAUUAUGUUUCAUAUGGCAUUUCCUGGUGUUAUUUAUUCUCUGUAAUGUGUUUUGUGUCUGUUGUGCACUGUGGACUGUGUCUAUUGUUGUCUGCAUGUUUUGGUGGCAAAUGACUUUCCCCACUGGGGAUAAAUCAAAGUUUUCCAAUCUAAUAUAAACCUUGAUUUGCAGCUGUCAAAAAAAUUAAAACAAUGGUGAGAGAGAAAAGAGACACAGAUGAACACAUACAUUAAGCAAGAUAAGCAUCACGGAUAGUAGAAGUUGAUUUAGAAGGUUGCUGCAUGAACAUAAAGCAGGUGUAAAUGAAGUACUAAAGGUUUCAGUGGUUCAGAGGUUUAUAGCAAUAUUUGUAAUCUUUUCCUAAUUCUAACCGGAGUAAGAGUGUGAACAUUGAACAGAUAUGAUCGAUCUUCAGCGUUCUAGCAUCUACACUCCGGACUGUGCUGGAUAUUAAGUAAUCUCUUCAGGUUAUGGAGGACAUAAAAGACAGUCCAUGCUUAAUGACCAAACAUAAUGGAUUAUGAUCUUAACAUCUGAUUACAACAAAACCACUAUCAUGGGAGAUCAGUGGGAGGUGUGUGUGCACAACUGGGAACGACGUAGUGCCAAGAACAGUUGAAUAACUAGUGAACCGACAUGUGAUGACUCAUCAGGCAAAAGGUCUGCGCUGUGUCUCUAUUGGUACACAGAGCACUUUCUCUGUCUAGCAGGCUGUGGGUUCGGUUUGUUUUAAGUUAGUCGCAUGCUUUGUUUUGCACUACACAAACACAUCAAUCCCUCAUGCAAACGUACAACACUGAUGAACCUGACAUCUGCAUCUUAAAAACACUUAUUUGGCACAAUUUGGUUAGAUUUGAUUUAUUAAACAAU